rnacentral:lncRNA from 1 species
CUAACUAAACAUGUAGAAGUGAACCUGGAACUAGCUUUGAAUUAGCUAGCUGAGCAGCAGCCCUGGUGAGCUACAGCGCCGUGCAGUCACCUGCACAGCUUCUGUCUCACAAAUGGGCUCUGCAGCCUGCGCUGGUUUGGUGCCAUGACAACACUGCCUGUGGUACCUGAAAGAGUGAGUUUAAAUAUAGUUUAUCCGCGGUCUCAGUGAGCUCUGGUCUGUGCAGCGCAGGCAAACAGCAAGAUGUAAUUACGGAGUAUUCAAGUCGGAAGCUAAACACUGUGUUAAGGGCGCCUUUCUUUCACUUGCACAGUCCCUUUUACAGUUAUCUCUAGGGCCUGUUGACUUCAAUCCACUUGUUUUCAAAACAUGCCUGCAGGGCAGGGAAGCAGCCCUGUCCGUGUGCUGUAGGGACAGAUCUGAAAAGCACCAGGUGUGGAAACUUGUUCAUUUUGCAAGCAGCAAGGAAGGUUUGGAACUUUACUGCUCCCAUUUACAGCUCCCACCUGUUUGAGGGCACUCAGUGCCGCAGCUGAGAGCUGAUGGGCUGUGGCUCUUCAUUCUUCAGCACAAGGCUGGGCAGCUGAUGAAGGUGGCCCAAGCUAUUCUGACUUGCAUGUAAGGUGGACUGGGAACAGAAGUUAUUUUCUGCCCUACAGCCUGAACAACAGAAGCAACAGCCUCUGACUGACAAGUGCUGGUGGCCGUUGUGGGGUGAAGCACUGUCCUGAAAUGCCAGGAGCUGCUGUGCACUCGUCCUUGACAGGAAGGGCAAGCUGAGCAAACAGGGCAGAGGACGAGCAUGUGAGGUGGCCGCAGGGGAGCCAGCAGCAGGGACAGGGCUGCUCCGACUGCUUGAGAAUCUCUUCAGCAACCGGGAAGGGGCUGAAAGCACAAAGACAAGAUUGUGUUGUGAAGGUGUUUCCUCACAGAGUCUGGGUUAUUUCUGUUGCAGUAUUGCUUCCUUCACACCCCUUGUAUUACUAUGCUAUAGGAUUAACAUCAGGCAGUUAGGAGAAACUUCAGACUUCCCAGAGCAUGGCCCAAGGAGUAGCCAAUGCUCUGUUGUCCAUAGCUGCAUUCAGUUUAGAGUUUACUUGCUGUGAAUGUACGUUUUGAAAAAGCUUUUUUGCUUUGUUGUAAUUUAAGAACAGUCCUUCCAAUGUCUCUAUUGUCAAGUAUGUGCUGAGAUGUAUGGGUACUUCUGCCGGUAUAGUCUUUCCAUCGCAACUUGAAGCUAUGGAAUGUGCAAGAGUGGUCCUUAAUUUUAUUCUUAUUCAGAAGUGGAAAAGAAGGCAGUGAUAACAGAGAAAAUUUUCAUUUUCCUUCUUAAACCCCACCAGUUUGAAUAAUCUUUUGCUGAGUUUCCUGAUGUGGCUAUUUGCAUUCUUUUGUGAAUUCAGACUGACUGUUAGCAGCCUCCAAAUAAAACAUGGUUAUAUGAAGAUUUACCUUGG